rnacentral:tRNA from 3 species
GGGCCCGUAGCUCAGCUGGUAGAGCAACUGACUUUUAAUCAGUAGGUCACAGGUUCGAACCCUGUCGGGCUCA